rnacentral:rRNA from 1 species
AUUGAACGCUGGCGGCAUGCCUUACACAUGCAAGUCGAACGGUAACAGGUUAAGCUGACGAGUGGCGAACGGGUGAGUAAUGUAUCGGAACGUGCCCAGUCGUGGGGGAUAACUGCUCGAAAGAGCAGCUAAUACCGCAUACGACCUGGGGGUGAAAGCGGGGGAUCGCAAGACCUCGCGCGAUUGGAGCGGCCGAUAUCAGAUUAGGUAGUUGGUGAGGUAAAGGCUCACCAAGCCGACGAUCUGUAGCUGGUCUGAGAGGACGACCAGCCACACUGGGACUGAGACACGGCCCAGACUCCUACGGGAGGCAGCAGUGGGGAAUUUUGGACAAAGGGCGCAAGCCUGAUCCAGCCAUGCCGCGUGCGGGAAGAAGGCCUUCGGGUUGUAAAACGCUUUUGUCAGGGAAGAAAAGGUUCUGGCUAAUACCUGGGACUCAUGACGGUACCUGAAGAAUAAGCACCGGCUAACUACGUG